rnacentral:rRNA from 1 species
ACUGCUCAGUAACACGUGGAUAACCUGCCCUAAGGAAGGGGAUAACCUCGUGAAACUGAGGAUAAUACCCUAUAGGUUACAGACGCUGGAAUGCCCUGUAACCGAAAGUUCCGGCGCCUUAGGAUGGAUCUGCGGCCGAUUAGGUUGUUGUUGGGGUAACGGCCCAACAAGCCGAUAAUCGGUACGGGUUGUGGGAGCAAGAGCCCGGAGUUGGAUUCUGAGACAUGAAUCCAGGCCCUACGGGGCGCAGCAGGCGCGAAAACUUUACAAUGCGGGAAACCGUGAUAAGGGAACCCCGAGUGCCUGUAUAUGCAGGCUGUCCAGGUGUCUAAAAAACACCUGAAGAAAGGGCCGGGCAAGACCGGUGCCAGCCGCCGCGGUAAUACCGGCGGCUCGAGUGGUGGCCACUUUUAUUGGGCUUAAAGCGUUCGUAGCUGGGUUGUUAAGUCUCUUGGGAAAUCUGACGGCUCAACCGUCAGGCGUCCAAGGGAUACUGGCAAUCUUGGAACCGGGAGAGGUGAGGGGUACUUCGGGGGUAGGAGUGAAAUCCUGUAAUCCUCGAGGGACCACCUGUGGCGAAGGCGCCUCACCAGAACGGCUUCGACAGUGAGGGACGAAAGCUGGGGGAGCAAACCGGAUUAGAUACCCGGGUAGUCCCAGCCGUAAACGAUGCGCGUUAGGUGUAUCGGUGACCACGAGUCACCGAGGUGCCGAAGGGAAACCGUGAAACGUGCCGCCUGGGAAGUACGGUCGCAAGGCUGAAACUUAAAGGAAUUGGCGGGGGAGCAC